rnacentral:rRNA from 1 species
GUUCUUUCAUGAUUCUAUGCAUGGUGGUGCAUGGCCGUUCUUAGUUGGUGGAGUGAUUUGUCUGGUUAAUUCCGAUAACGAACGAGACCUCAGCCAUCUAAAUAGCCGUCGCUAGUCUAGCGCUCGCAAGAGUUCGGCUUCUUAGAGGGACCGCCCGCGGGAGCGGGAGGAAGUUUGAGGCGAUAACAGGUCAGUGAUGCCCUUAGAUGCUCUGGGCUGCACGCGCGCUACAAUGACGCACUCAGCGAGGGMCCGGCUUGGCAAGGCCGGGGAACCUGCAACGUGCGUCUUGGUUGGGAUAGAUGAUUGCAAUUCUUCGUCUUGAACUAGGAA